GCGGGUGUGGCGAAAUUGGUAGACGCACUAGACUUAGGAUCUAGCGCCGCGAGGCAUGGGGGUUCGAGUCCCUCCACCCGCA
rnacentral:tRNA from 1 species